GGGCGAGGGCGGGCUUCCGCGGUCUCCCGGGCUUUUCUUCCUCGCCCGCUAGCCGCCGCGCGCCGCCGUUCCCCUGCCCCCAGCCCCGUGAGGUCCCCCGUGAGGGCGUCGUGUGACCGUGCAGUCCGCAGACGUUCCUGAAACAGGCUGAAAUUGAGGGUGACUCCUGCAUCUUCCAGGUUGCUCUGCUUCUGAACUUCCCUUGGGCCUGAGAGGGCUGCUCCUCCUGCAUGUGCUGAGUGUCACUGACUUGGGCUCUCUCUGGCACAGGGAGGAAAUGCUGCCUGAAAAGGACUGUGGGCAAGACCAUGUUCUUCUGGCCUCAUUUAUCCAGCUCAGAAUCCAUCUCCAGGACUGUGUCUUCUCUGCUGUGUGAGGCCCAAGUGGCUCUGGCUGAGAUUUGUCUCCCUGUGACCUGCAGCUGCUAUGAGAUCCAUAGGAAAGAAGUCAGGACUCUCCAGAAGGCAAGAAAUGGUGAGUGUGGGUUGAGGACUGCUCAGGGAGGUGGGCUGUUUAGAACUGGUGGGAACCAUCUGUGUGGCUGGACUCUGGCCUCCCACUGUUAG
rnacentral:lncRNA from 1 species